GGCAAACCUGGAAAUUUUUUUCAAAAAAAAAAUAAUAAUUUAAAUAGCUACUGGUUUGAUGAAUAACAAAUGCUAGUAAUUACAAAUUUACAAUUGAAUAAGUACAAAAACAAGUUGGUUUACAUAGACAGACAACAUCAAUAAGCAUUACAAAACAUCUACUAUUUCUUGUCUUUACUUUUCUUCUUCUUCUUCUUCUUUUUCUUUUUUUUUGGCUAGCAAUUUCCUUUCGUCUUUCCUUUAUCAUCUCAGCCACUAUUUGGGCAUUAGUCUACGAGAUUUCAUCUGUACUUUCGGCUCGGAUAACGUCGAAUACAAUUGUUUCACCUCUGGUUUAAUCUUACCAUAUUCCUUCAAAGCUCUACAGACCUUGCAUUAUCUGACUAAUUUCUUUGAGACUGAAAAACAAAACCAAAAAAUAAAACAGAACACAAAGAUAUACAUGAAAGAUAAUAUAUAUAUAUAUUUGAAUAAAAUUACUUUUGAGAGAGUUGCUUUAACUGACCUACAUUCAAAGAUAUACCAACUGAGAACUGCUUUAAUAUACAUCAAGGAUCUGUUUGUCUUCAUUUGAAGAAAUACAUUGGGACUACCCCAAUUUUCUCAUGAGCAGGCUACACAUAUGAAAUAUAAAUAAAUAAAGUUAAGAAAAACUGCAACCGUUUGAAAACUAGAAUAAAGAAUCAAAACAGGAUAUACAACAAAACAAUCUGACCAACAGUUUGAUCAGACCAGCAAUGGUGUGACUCAGCAAAAUUAUUUGUUUUCCAUAAGUAUAACAAAUAUAAUACUUAGAAACGUCUCUACAAGCCAAUCCAAAUAGACGUGCACAGAAGUUUUACCUGAUCAUCCAGCCCUGGUCUCCGUAGUGACUGUUGAAUAAAUACACACCAACAAUCAGAUCACUCAGAUAAAUGUAAGGUACCUGAUUGCUUUUCAGAAUGUUGGUAUCGUGUAUUCUUAUAUGUUAACAGGGGAUCUUGAUAACCUGAUUCCAUAUUCAACUUUAACCCGUCUUCUUCUAUUUGUUGCAUCCACAACCUCUGAAAAAUUCCUGAUAGACAGAAAAAAAGUAAGACUAAGCAUGUAUAAUGUAACAUAAAUUGAGUCUUGACAGGAGCUACUUUUUGCAAUUUUAACAAAUUAUUACGUAGGACAAAUGAUCAUGAACCUUUUUGCUGCUGGUAUUAACAGAUACAUACAACAAACAUACAUACAUGUAGAAAAUAUAGAUAACUUCAUGGCUCUUAAUGUCUUAGGGCAUCUCUAAUGGUUCGGCAAAUUUGGUGGUCCACGUAUACAGAUUUGAUGAUAUUUUGAUGAAAGUUUUGAUUCAAAAAUGUGCUCCUUCUAAUGGUUCGGCAAAUUAAAGCGGCUAAUGGAUGACCACUUUACUAAAGAGACUAAAGCGGGCCUAUGGACACCGCUUGAAUGUAAUGGGGCGGCCUUAGAGUGCCACUUCACCCAAUGGUUAAGUGAGGCGGGUAACAAUGUGCCACUUAAACCACCGUUUUGUUUAAAGCGGGCAUCCAAGAGCCACAUUAGUGAGGCGGGUAAUAAAGUGCCGCUUUAAGUGGAUGUCCAAGUGCCACUUAGUUAAAAAAAAAAAAAAAAAAGUGCCACUUAGUUAAAACGGCCUUUCAAGUGCCACUUGAAGCGGCACUUCAUUAGCCGCUUUAAGUGAAGCGACCUUCUCUUGCCCGCCUCAACCCAUCAUCAAAUUUGUUGUUUUUCAUCAAAAUUUCACCAAAUUUGAUGAUUUUUUGAUGAUUAUUGGUGAAAUAUCAAAUUUGAUGAACUUUUGAUGACCAUUAGAUGAAGUUUUUCUCACUUUCUCAUCAAAUUUGAGUUUGGUGACAGAUUUGAUGAACCAUUAGAGAUGCCCUUAGUAUUCCAAAUGACCAGCCCCAAUUCACAUGGCCCUUACAGUAUACGUGGACUGUGGGCCAAUCUAAACAAAUAGAAGAAGGGAAAACAAUAUCCCAGAAAAAAAAUUUUGAGAAAAUAAAACAAAUGGGAGUACAGCCAACAGUCUAACAAACAGAGGAACGGCAAAUAAGAUGAAAUUGGCAGCGGUAAUGCCUCAAUACUAACAAGUAAGAUAAACUGGUUUAGUAUACUAUUGAGCAUAGCUUCAUUUGAAUUGAGAAUUUCUCAUGCUUAUGAUCACCGUAUUAGAUCGUUCAUGUAGUUUUGUACACUUCAACAGGAUUUAGAAACUACUAUAAGAAUGUAAAUGUCACUUACAUAAAGCUAGAUAUGGCAUUGGAUUUCAACCUGCCUUGUAAAUAUUGCUUGCCCGAAACAGAUUACAGGUGCUUGAGGUU
rnacentral:lncRNA from 1 species